AUUGAACGCUGGCGGCAUGCCUUGCACAUGCAAGUCGAACGGCAGCACGGGUGCUUGCACCUGGUGGCGAGUGGCGAACGGGUGAGUAAUACAUCGGAACAUGUCCUGUAGUGGGGGAUAGCCCGGCGAAAGCCGGAUUAAUACCGCAUACGAUCCACGGAUGAAAGCGGGGGCCCUUCGGGCCUCGCGCUAUAGGGUUGGCCGAUGGCUGAUUAGCUAGUUGGUGGGGUAAAGGCCUACCAAGGCGACGAUCAGUAGCUGGUCUGAGAGGACGACCAGCCACACUGGGACUGAGACACGGCCCAGACUCCUACGGGAGGCAGCAGUGGGGAAUUUUGGACAAUGGGCGAAAGCCUGAUCCAGCAAUGCCGCGUGUGUGAAGAAGGCCUUCGGGUUGUAAAGCACUUUUGUCCGGAAAGAAAUCCUUGGCUCUAAUACAGUCGGGGGAUGACGGUACCGGAAGAAUAAGCACCGGCUAACUACGUG
rnacentral:rRNA from 1 species